GUAAACCAAAGAGAGGGCAUAUAACAGAGCAAAAAUUAGUGGGAGGUUAGAAGAUUGGGAAGCUUUUAAAAACCAGCAGAAGGCAACUUCAUGAAGAAAGUACAGAUGGAGUAUGAAAGAAUGUGUGAAACGUUGAAUGUACAAUGGAUAAAUCAGAUUCACCUUAAUCCUUCAACAAAUGUCAAGACUGAGCAACUUGUUCACUUGUUUUGCAGUCGGGACUUUCAGGGGCCAUGCACAAUUCUGAUUUGAUGGAGACAGCCGUGAGAGCACGGAGGAACGUCUGGAGUAACUUCUGAAAUGCCUGGUUCACUGCCGUUGCUACUGUGCGAUCGAGAAUCUCCGGAGGGAAGGCCACAAAAUCCCUGGCUUUGCCUGCUGCUGGCAGCCGGGGCCGGGGUUGAUGCGUUCAGCAGAGAUGGUGCUCGGUGCUCGGUGUCGGAGGGCUGGUCGGAGCUCAAAGUUUUCGGACGACUCAGAGUCGGACUGUGGUCGGGUAUGGCAGGGAGAGUUUUCUUCCUUCUCCCGUCUGCGUGAGAUGUGGGACUUUUGAGAGACUUUGAACUUUUUACUGUGCUAAAUGGCCUGUUCUUCAUCAAGUUACGGUAUUGCUUGCACUGUUGUAACUAUAUGUUAUAAUUAUGUGUUUUUUGUCAGUUUUUCAGUCUUGGUCUGUCCUGUGUUUCUGUGAUAUCACACCGGAGGAAUAUUGUAUCAUUUCUUAAUACACGCAUUACUAAAUGACCAUAAAAGAGGACUGCGUGUCCUCAUAAUCUAAUGAUCUAAUGAUAUUAUUCUGCUGCCAAGGAAAACAUUUUAUUUACUAAUUAUUCAUUUAUAACAGGAUUGUUGGCCCAAUCUUAAUCAUUUUUGGGAAGUUGCAGUUUUCCUGGUGGAAGUACUAUUGGUUCAUAAGUACUAAAAUUUUGAGCCCGUAACAAGGGAUGCCUG